rnacentral:ribozyme from 1 species
AGAUUAAAAUAUAAAAGCUUUAAACAUAAAAGAUUGAAAUAUAAAGCCUCUCACCUGUACGACUGCAACAUGCGAGACUCUUUAUUUUAUUUAUUUAUUUAUUUAUUAAUACCUCCAUUAUUGCGAA